GAUCCCAACUUCUUCCUCCUCACUUCCCCGAUCUCCCCUCUUCCUCUCUCUGUUCUCUCGCGGACAAGCAACGCCGACGGAAGCCAGGCUCCAGCUCCGACGAUCUUUCUCCACCGGCAUCGACACCCAUUGAGCUCAAGUCCGACCGGUGUCUUCCUCUCUGGGCCGCUUCACAACAUCGCGUCUUCUCACGCCUACCUGCCGACGCCACUGGAUCGAGCGAGAUCCACCCGAUCGCCGGUGAGGGUUUUCUUCCGGAGGUUCGAGAGAGGGGCUGGCUUCACCCGAGCCCUUUCUCCUUGUGCAACUGUGCCCUAGGUCUCUUCGGUUGGCUCCGAUCAGACGUCACGGCAACAGAGCCGUGACCUAGCAACGAUCCUUAAGGUCACGGAUUGGGCAAUUUCUUUUGGAGACAACCGAUUGAGUGAGGUUAUGUGCACCUGCGGUGGAUCUGGAAUUGGGUUCUGUGGCAGCUUGGUUUCCAGCAGUGUUCUGUGAGGUUGCUUAUUGUUGGUCCGACACCC